UUUAUAUAUAUAGCCUGUUAUAUAUGCUGCAAUUGCAGUUGCAAUUGAAAUUGCUGAUCGGGCAGUUCACACCCCGCCGUCGGCUCCCUUCGGAGAAGUCCAUAACUUAAAUGGCCACCAUGCAUCAAGGGAUCUUUGGCCAUAUGUCUCUUGGACAAACUUGAAAUUUUUAUUGUGGCUCGGUCGUGUGUUAAAGUUCAAAUGUGCCCCAUGCCACAUGCGUCGUUGCAGUCUCUGUUGUGUCUGUCCCUAUAUAUAUAUAUAUUUCCAGUAUAUAUAUCUUUAUAUAUGUGAAGGUAUCUCAAUCUCAUUGGGGUUUCCAGGCCCAAAACCAUAUAGUAUGCGGUAUUUAUAGGCUCUGCGGCGGGGACCUCUGUACUUUUACUUUUGUUUGCCUUUUGCCUUUGGCUCGUCGGCGAAUGUUAUAAAUUAUAUGGUUGGGGGAUUAAAUGCAUUUUUAUUGGUCUUUGACUCGACCUGCUAUAUUUAAUCCGGCUUAUUGCAGCGAAUUUAUCGUAAGUCCGAGGAUGAGUUGCCAGAGAAAGGAUUAAAAAAUGAGUUAAGUUAUAUAAAUAUACGAUCUUAGGCCCUGUAAUACAGUUUUUUAAUAAACUAUUGGAAAACUUAA